rnacentral:tmRNA from 1 species
GGGCCUGUUUUGGAUUUGAUUGCAAGCGGAGUUUGUCGGACGCACGCCGGAGGCUCGGCUCCGUAAAAACGGAAACAAAUUUAAAUGCUGAUACCAAAAGAUCGGCUGUUGCGCGCAGAGCAUCCGCUCGCCGCGUAGCUCUCGCGGCUUAACCUUUUAAGCCCCGUCCUGCCCCGAUUGCCUACGGUCGGGAACAGGGCGUCAAAAAAGUAGGGAACCUCCUCGGGGGAAACACUUCCGUUCCCCGAGAGGAUCGCAGGGAAGUAUGCCCAAGGCGCAGGUUGUCUGUGAACUGCCUGCGGGCGAGAUCCGAUCACAGACUAAGCGUGUAGUGUCCGCAGACGAACCUUGUAAGACCGCAGUUCGAUUCUGCGCAGGUCCACCA